CGGGGCUGGACGCCAAGGCUGAAGAAGGUUUUUCAGGCUGUCGCCCUGAAUCGAAGUGCCUCAGAACUUCGGGCCGAUAGAAUCAGAAAACGGGAGCAGCUCCGCCGUUCAACGCCAUCCCGGCUCCACAUCCACUUUAAUACGCAGUCCCUCUGGAUUGAAGAUGACUUGCUUCUACUCCUCUUUUGAGAGUUCUGAGGUGACUGAUGAUACCAAUGUGGGAACUGCAGACUCUUUCACAGCUGGGGCAGGAAGUGCUUGGCAGAACAGAAGAACUUCUCGCAGAGGAUGGUGAAUCUCUAGAAUUCUCUGCCCCAGAUGGUUUUGGAGGCUGGAUAACUGGAGGUAUUUGAAGAGGAAGUAGAUACAUUCUUGAAAGAUCAGGGAAUUGAGAUCCACAGGAAACUGGCACAGAAGAGGAGUUGAGGCCUGGGC